CCUACGGGUGGCUGCAGUGAGGAAUAUUGGUCAAUGGGCUGAAGCCUGAACCAGCCAAGUAGCGUGCAGGAUGACUGCCCUAUGGGUUGUAAACUGCUUUUAUACGGGAGUAACGCGCCCUACGUGUAGCGUUUUGCAUGUACCGUAAAAAUAAGGACUGGCUAAUUCCGUGCCCGCAGCCGCGGUAAUACGGAAGGUGCGGGCGUUAUCCGGAUUUAUUGGGUUUAAAGGGUGCGUAGGCGGUACGUUAAGUCAGCGGUAAAAGUGCGGGGCUCAACCCCGUCGCGCCGUUGAAACUGGCAGUCUUGAGUGGGCGAGAAGUACGCGGAAUGCGCGGUGUAGCGGUGAAAUGCAUAGAUAUCACGCAGAACUCCGAUUGCGAAGGCAGCGUACCGGCGCCAGACUGACGCUGAGGCACGAAAGCGUGGGGAUCGAACAGGAUUAGAUACCCUAGUAGUC
rnacentral:rRNA from 1 species